rnacentral:rRNA from 1 species
GAUGAACGCUGGCGGCGUGCCUAAUACAUGCAAGUCGAGCGAACAGACGAGGAGCUUGCUCCUCUGACGUUAGCGGCGGACGGGUGAGUAACACGUGGAUAACCUACCUAUAAGACUGGGAUAACUUCGGGAAACCGGAGCUAAUACCGGAUAACAUGUUGAACCGCAUGGUUCAACAGUGAAAGACGGUUUUGCUGUCCCUUAUAGAUGGAUCCGCGUCGCAUUAGCUAGUUGGUAAGGUAACGGCUUACCAAGGCAACGAUGCGUAGCCGACCUGAGAGGGUGAUCGGCCACACUGGAACUGAGACACGGUCCAGACUCCUACGGGAGGCAGCAGUAGGGAAUCUUCCGCAAUGGGCGAAAGCCUGACGGAGCAACGCCGCGUGAGUGAAGAAGGUCUUCGGAUCGUAAAACUCUGUUAUUAGGGAAGAACAAAUGUGUAAGUAACUAUGCACGUCUUGACGGUACCUAAUCAGAAAGCCACGGCUAACUACGUG